AUACGAAUGGUGCAAGCGUUGUUCGGAAUCACUGGGCAUAAAGCGCGCGUAGGCGGCGGCGUCAGUCAGUUGUGAAAUCCCUCGGCUCAACCGAGGAACUGCAACUGAUACUGCGUCGCUAGAGUGUGGGAGGGGAGAGUGGAAUUCCCGGUGUAGCGGUGAAAUGCGUAGAUAUCGGGAGGAAUACCGGUGGCGAAGGCGACUCUCUGGCCUGCUACUGACGCUGAGGUGCGAAAGCUAGGGGAGCGAACGGGAUUAGAAACCCCAGUAGUCC
rnacentral:rRNA from 1 species